UCUUUCUCUCCUUUCUACUGUCUUUUUUCUCUCUCUUUAAUCUUCUCUCCUCUCUCUCUACUUUUGUCUUUGUCAUUGUCAUUGCCUUGUUGCUCGCCCGCCGAAACAGCUCUUGUCACCUUUACACCACCCUUACAUCGUUACCCAUUCUAAACUCUGUUCGGUUGAUUUCGGUUACAGAGUCGUCCGAUUGGUUAAGGAAUUUGUUCUUUUAUCGUUAAAUACCCUUAUCUCGUUACCUAUUGCCCACUAAAGCUUUAAGUUAAUCUCUUUACAUAAUCAUUGCUCGCCUUUGGUCCAAUCAUUGCGUCGGAUAUAGAUCUCUGCUUAUCUCGAUCGUUACUUUGAACCAAUCAUUAAAAAUAUUGCUGUCCAAUUGCGUCCUUGCAUUUUUGCCGUUAUCAAACU